rnacentral:rRNA from 1 species
GAUGAACGCUGACAGAAUGCUUAACACAUGCAAGUCUACUUGAAGCUAACUUCAGUUAGUGGAGGGUGGCGGACGGGUGAGUAACGCGUAAAGAACUUGCCUCACAGAUUGGGACAACAUCUGGAAACGGAUGCUAAUACCGGAUAUUAUGAUUCUUCUGCAUGGAAGGAACAUGAAAGCUAUAUGCGCUGUGAGAGAGCUUUGCGUCCCAUUAGCUAGUUGGAGAGGUAACGGCUCACCAAGGCGAUGAUGGGUAGCCGGCCUGAGAGGGUGAACGGCCACAAGGGGACUGAGACACGGCCCUUACUCCUACGGGAGGCAGCAGUGGGGAAUAUUGGACAAUGGACCAAAAGUCUGAUCCAGCAAUUCUGUGUGCACGAUGAAGUUUUUCGGAAUGUAAAGUGCUUUCAGUUGGGAAGAAGCAAGUGACGGUACCAACAGAAGAAGCGACGGCUAAAUACGUGCCAGCAGCCGCGGUAAUACGUAUGUCGCAAGCGUUAUCCGGAUUUAUUGGGCGUAAAGUGCGUCUAGGCGGCUACAUAAGUCUGAUGUGAAAAUGCGGGGCUCAACUCCGUAUUGCGUUGGAAACUGUGUGGCUAGAGUACUGGAGAGGUAAGCGGAACUACAAGUGUAGAGGUGAAAUUCGUAGAUAUUUGUAGGAAUGCCGAUGGGGAAGCCAGCUUACUGGACAGAUACUGACGCUAAAGCGCGAAAGCAUGGGUAGCAAACAGG